GGUGUCCCUACCCAUGGCAGGGGGUGGAACUGGAUGAUGUUUUUGAGGUUCCUUCCAACCCAAACCAUUCUCUGACUCUGUGACGUAGAAUAUAUUAUGUCUAACCAAAAUGUUAACAAAACUUCCAAAAAUCCAUUUGAAUGUGAACUUCUGAUCUCUCUUUGGAAUGUGUUGGGCAAAUCCUGGCUUGGACUGUGAGCUUUCCUGAGGCACGGUUUGUAUCUCUGUACUGAGUGUAGAACCAUUCAAUAAAUAACAGUUUGUGAUUAAACUAAUCGGUCUUGUUCCUGAUUUCUAGCAUAAAAAUCCUGCCCCUGUGAAUGUAUCUGUUACAGCCAGCACAAUUAGGGAGGCUCAUGGCACAUCACUCACCGAGCUGCUGUGAGCAAAUGGACUUUAUUUCUGUAUAGCCAGUGAGCAGAAGAGGUGACUUGUUCUUUUAUGGUAUUUAAAGCACUUAAUGCUCAGUGAGCAGCUCAGCACAGCACAAAUGUUCUCAUGCAGCUUAGGGAUGAUGUCUGGUGUCAUGGAAAGAGAACACUGUGCUUUUGGCAAGGCAGGAAAAGAGUCUAAUUUUGGUUUAAAUAUCUUUUCAUUGGAAUAGGAACCUCAGGACCCAGGAGUUAAUCCAUGAUACUGAAUUUUUUCAUCCCAAAAGUCAUUGUUAAGCAGCCCUGAAACUUGAAGCUAUCCUGGCUGUGCUGGAUCUUUGCACUGUGCCCCAUCCCCCUGUGCAAACCCUUACAGUGACACUGUGGAAAGGAGUGGAAGACUUGAGCAAAGGAGGUGACUUUGGUGAGCCUUUUUAUCAUGGCCUGUUGUUUUAACUGCACAGAGUUAACAGCUGAGAAGCUCUAGAGUGGGACAAUCACAGUAAGUCAUUUUAGUAUCUAAUCUCUCAGUACAGACACCUGUGAAGGAGAAACAUUUCAUUUUUUGGAUUGCUGUUCAAAGCAGCAGUACUUGUGUUAUCUGUACUUUGUUAGUACCAAAGGUCUUGUAGAUGCAGCACGGGAGAUCUGCCUGGGGAAAUGCAUUUGAGUCUUAGCUUGAGCAAAUUAAAGGCUUCUUAAUUUAAAAACAAUUAAAAGCAUUAAGGCACUCUGAGAAUGACACUGGUCAUUGGUCAUGUGGAAUUCUAAGUGAUGGCUGUAAGUAAAUUAGUAAAUAUAAUACACUUAAACACUUGAAAAUGUGUUUGGUGUAUUAGUUGCAGAAUAUACUGAAAUCUUGCCCAAAGUCUUCCAUAAAUGUUGCACGUGAUAAGAAAGAGCAAACUUAGGAAUGUCUGUAUCUUACAGGUCUCUUUAUAAGAACAGCAGAAUAAGUAACUGUUGAAUGUAUCACGUGGCUUCCUUCAGAUCAAGAUAAAGUAAGAAAACUUCUGGGAGAAGACUGCAGGUUCACAUUGGUGACGAUAGUUACAGCUAUCCUGGGGAAGUCAUGCAGUGUUUCAAAACAACUACACAGCACUGCAGGGAAGCUGAAGAUUUGUGCAGCAGCUUUAAUUUAGAUGUGGCAAAGGAUUCUGUCAUCACCUGCAAUCAAGUGAUCAGCCUGUCUUUCAAAACUUGGAAGUAGGUGCUUGAAGUAAAAUGAGAAUUUAGUUACUGUUCUGAGUAGCACUGCUCACACAGCUGCUGAAGGAGAGUGUUCUUACAUAUUUUUCAAAAGAACACUUUGGAUGCCAGCAGUAAAGGUGAAGGAUCAGUUCUCUACAUCUACCUGUCAGUUCUCUUUCAUGCUUUCUGAAUAACAUUUUUCAUGGCAGGCACAAGACAGUGGUUAGUACAGAAAUGUAUCCUGUGAAUGUGCAGGCUGCAUCAGUGCAUCAACCAUUCCAGCAUUGUAAACUUAAAUUUUUUUAACUCUCUAUGCUUUUUAACGGGCUUUCAAAUUAUCUCUGCAGCAUGCAGCCUCUUUUCCUUGGCUUCUGAGGUGUAAACCUUAUUCCUGAUGUAAACUCUUUUGCUGUAGAAGUUUUUAUCUUUCAAGGGGAGAAAAGAUGUUUUUUUAAUAGAAUUGAAAGAGUGAUUUUGUCAGUAAAUACAGUCAGUUACCCAUCUACAGAUUGAAUACAUUUUAUGUUCUUGAAAUAAACUUAAAUGGAAAACAUUUAAACUUACACCUGAAUCUCUAAAUAGUCUAUAUUCUUCCUAACAGAGUCAAAUCUCUAGCUUAUAAUUACUGCUACUUUAGUAAACUCCCAUCUAAAUCAAAUGUACAGAGUAAAACUUGAAAGCAAAAUUCAUGUGGGUUUGGGAGUGGCAAUUUUUUCAUUGCUAUGAAAACCAACAGGAGAAAAAGUCUUUGAAGUUCUGCAUGUUGUAUUUGAAGAAACUUUGUGCAGUCUUCUGAGUAAAUUAAAAUGCUGAAAUAGAGGAUACUCCUCCUUAAAUGUUUAACUUCUAAGAUCUACUUUGUAGCAACAGUGUGGGCACUUUUUCAGCCUUUUGUGAUAUCACACUGGAGUAAAUGUUUACUGAAGAGGUGCCUAAUGCUGCCCAUAGCUAAGAUGUGAGCUGCUGCUGACUGGAGAGCUGAAAUGGGUGUUUCAUUUUGGUAUAAAGAACUAACUGUGGCUGGAUUAAUUUCUUUACCUGUGUUAGAUUCAGGGUGGUCUUUUUUUUUUUUGGUAGUUUGAAUGAUCUGUCAUGGGCAAUCUUCCCUGUUUAUCCUUUUAGCCUACCUGUUGCUAGUUUGUAUCUUAGACUGAUUUUUUUUUUUUCCCACUGCCUCCUGGUAAGACUUUUUGCUGCAGCAAUAGCCAUGGAAAAAAGGACUAGAAGGAAAUAAAGCUCUUCUGAACCAUGUUCUCAUAUACCAGUGUCUGAAAAAGCUUGUGCAAGUGGCUUGCAGAGUUCAGAUUUUUACUAAAAUACAUCUUUCCAUACUUGUGGAGAUAAAGAACAGGGUUCUAACAUUGAUAGUGAGUCCUUAGAUAUGGUCCACCUGCCAGAAUAGGGUUGUCUCAGGUUUGCCAGCACUGAUAAGCUGGUGGUUAAAAUACUUUAUUGUUACAGAUGCAGAGUGUAGAGCAAAGUGAUCCAGCAGGAUCAGGACUAUGGAUUCACAAUCCUCCCUUGUCACCCUCCAGAAGCAGAGUGUGUGUCCCUGAAGUGUGUGUGUCACUGCAGUCUGAGUGUCACUACCAGCCUGGCACAAAGAGGGAAGCAGCAGCACUGCUCUUCAGCGUGACUGCUCAGCAAAAGAAAUCUGGUGACAGCAGUGGUUACAUGGCCUUUCUUCCAGGGCUUUUGCUUGUCCAAAUUAUUUCAAUCACUGCAGGUUAAUUUACUUUUCAGCCUCAACUAAUAAGACUGCAGUUGGUCAGUAUUGAUUCUUUAAAAGUAUUAAUGCCCUCAGUCUUCCGAAUUAAAUGUUCUGAGCUGUAAGUAGCUGCUGUUGCAAAGAAUCUACAGUUCAGCCACUGAUUAAAUUCUGAUUUUUUUUUCCUGCUCAGCCAUCUUUUCCAAAGUUAUUUUUCAUUUGUGUGUGUCUUUUGGAGGACAUUAUUCCAGAUAGCUCAUUUCCAGGUGGCCAGGGAGCUGGCUGCUCCAUCAACACUAAGCCUGUGAAUUAAUUGCCAGACUGUGCUGUUUCCAGGAGUUCAUACCUUCAGGGAUGUGCUUUCCCCUGCAGUGCUCCUGUGUAGUGUCACCUUAUUAGCUACAGCUAUAAACAGAGCUGUGUUGUGCGACAUUCAGAACUCUGACAGAGCAAAAUGCAUGGCUUUUUAGAGGUUUUUAUUAUUCUGGAUCAAUAGAAGAUGUAUUUGUGAGAGUGAGUCCUUGCAGGCAGCACAACAGGAUACAACUGCUGUAAAGAUAGACACAAACACUUGGCUGGGGGAAGCAGCUCUUGUUAAACCAACUGAUGGAAAACACAUUUAGCUGCAUUUUAGUUCUGCCUCAAACAGCAUUGCAGACUCGUUUCUAUUCCUGAUGAACAUAGGAAAGUGUUUGGGGGAAAUAGCUCUCACUUGAUGGAAUUUGUCUACUGGGAACACCUGGGGUUAGAAUUGAAACAGCUUUGAACAUUCUGCUAAAAUAGCUGCUGCUUCCUGUGCUGUUCUUGUCACCUGUUAAUGUAGUCCAAUGGAAUAGGUCUCUGUUCUUUCUGAAUGUAAUGAAAGGAGCAGAUGUCCUGCUUUUCUAAAAUCCCAACAAACAAGAUACAUUUUAACUUACAAAAAAUUUAGGCAUCACUUGGGUGGGUUUUGGGGAGAUAUGUGUGUUUGGAAUACAUCAGUUUUUGGGUGAAUUCACUGUAAUUGAGCCUACUCUUAAUCUGGUGAAAUUGGAAUCCUCUUGACUGAUUUUGGAUAUGCAGACAAUAUGUGUACCAAAUUAUAUCUAAUUUUAUGCAGCAAUAAAGCACAUCAUGUUCUUUCUAAA